rnacentral:tRNA from 1 species
GGACAUGUAACUCAGCAGGUAGAGUACCUCACUGAAGAUGAGGUGGUCAUCGGUUCGAUUCCGAUCUUGUCCA